CCAUUAGCCCACUUCUAUAGUAUUUUCGUGUAGCAUGGGGGCAGCCUGAUGCAGCGGGUGCCGCGUGUGUGAAGAAGGCCUUCGGGUUGUAAAGCACUUUCAGUCGUGAGGAAGGUGGUGUAGUUAAUAGCUGCAUUAUUUGACGUUAGCGACAGAAGAAGCACCGGCUAACUCCGUGCCAGCAGCCGCGGUAAUACGGAGGGUGCGAGCGUUAAUCGGAAUUACUGGGCGUAAAGCGCAUGCAGGUGGUUUGUUAAGUCAGAUGUGAAAGCCCGGGGCUCAACCUCGGAAUAGCAUUUGAAACUGGCAGACUAGAGUACUGUAGAGGGGGGUAGAAUUUCAGGUGUAGCGGUGAAAUGCGUAGAGAUCUGAAGGAAUACCGGUGGCGAAGGCGGCCCCCUGGACAGAUACUGACACUCAGAUGCGAAAGCGUGGGGAGCAAACAGGAUUAGAUACCCUGGUAGUCCACGCCGUAAACGAUGUCUACUUGGAGGUUGUGGCCUUGAGCCGUGGCUUUCGGAGCUAACGCGUCAAGUAGACCGCCUGGGGGAGUACGGUCGCAAGAUUAAACUCAAAUGAAUUGACGGGGGGCCCGCACAAGCGGUGGAGCAUGUGGUUUAAUUCGAUGCAACGCGAAGACCCUUACCUACUCUUGACAUCCCGGAGAACUUUCCAGAGAUGGAUUGGUGCCUUCUGGAACUCUGAGACAGGUGCUGCAUGGCUGU
rnacentral:rRNA from 1 species